rnacentral:rRNA from 1 species
CCUACGGGAGGCUGCAGUGAGGAAUAUUGGUCAAUGGGCGGGAGCCUGAACCAGCCAAGCCGCGUGAGGGAAGAAGGUACAGCGUAUCGUAAACCUCUUUUGUCAGGGAACAAAGGCGGGGACUAGUCCCCGGAUGAGGGUACCUGAAGAAAAAGCAUCGGCUAACUCCGUGCCAGCAGCCGCGGUAAUACGGAGGAUGCGAGCGUUAUCCGGAUUUAUUGGGUUUAAAGGGUGCGCAGGCGGCCUGUUAAGUCAGCGGUAAAAGCCCGGGGCUCAACCCCGGCGAGCCGUUGAAACUGGUUUUCUUGAGUGAGUGAGAAGUAUGCGGAAUGCGUGGUGUAGCGGUGAAAUGCAUAGAUAUCACGAAGAACUCCGAUUGCGAAGGCAGCUUACUAAACUGCCACUGACAUUGAUGCUCGAAAGUGUGGGUAUCAAACAGGAUUAGAUACCCGUGUAGUC